AUUGAACGCUGGCGGCAGGCCUAACACAUGCAAGUCGAGCGGAGCGGCGGACGGGUGAGUAAUGCUUAGGAAUCUGACUGGUAGUGGGGGAUAACGUCCGGUAAAGGGCGCUAAUACUGCACACUCUUGGCAGAGGCUGUGCCGAAUUAGCUAGUGGGGGGGGUAGAGGCCUACCAAGGCGACGAUCCGUAACUGGUCGGAGAGGAUGAUCAGUCACACUGGAACUGAGACACGGUCCAGACUCCUACGGGAGGCAGCAGUGGGGAAUAUUGGACAAUGGGCGAAAGCCUGAUCCAGCCAUGCCGCGUGUGUGAAGAAGGUCUUCGGAUUGUAAAGCACUUUAAGUUGGGAGGCGUUACCAACAGAAUAAGCACCGGCUAACUUCGUGCCAGCCGCCGCGGUAAUAC
rnacentral:rRNA from 1 species